UCUGGUUGAUCCUGCCAGUAGUCAUAUGCUUGCCUCAAAGAUUAAGCCAUGCAUGUCUAAGUAUAAAUAGUAUACAGUGAAACUGCGAAUGGCUCAUUAAAACAGUUAUAGUUUAUUUGAUAAUUGACAAUUACAUGGAUAACCGUGGUAAUUCUAGAGCUAAUACAUGCUUAAACGCCCGACUUUAUGGAAGGGUGGUAUUUAUUAGACUGAAGCCAAUAUUCCUUGUGUCUAUUGCGGUGAUUCAUAAUAACUGAUCGAAUCUCUUUUUGAGAUAAAUCAUUCAAGUUUCUGCCCUAUCAGCUUUCGAUGGUAGUGUAUUGGACUACCAUGGUAGUAACGGGUAACGAAGAAUUAGGGUUCGAUUUCGGAGAGGGAGCAUGAGAAACGGCUACCACAUCUAAGGAAGGCAGCAGGCGCGUAAAUUACCCAAUCCUGACUCAGGGAGGUAGUGACAAGAAAUAGCAAACCGGGAACCUCAUGGUUUCACGGUAUUGCAAUGAGAACAAUUUAAAACCCUUAGCGAGAAUCAAGUGGAGGACAAGUCUGGUGCCAGCACCCGCGGUAAUUCCAGCUCCACUAGCGUAUAUUAAAGUUGUUGCAGUUAAAAAGCUCGUAGUUGAACCUCUGUCUGGGGCUAGUUUUGGCUUUGGUCAGGCUAGUUCUAGGCAUCCGCCUACAAGACUUAGAGGGCAUUCAGUUGUUCACUAGGAGGAGUAGGCAUUUUACUUUGAAAAAAUUAGAGUGUUUAAGGCAGGCAAUCGCCCGCAUAUAUUAGCAUGGAAUAAUAGAAUAGGACACUUUUCCAUUUCGUUGGUUAUUGGAAUCGUGUAAUGAUUAAUAGGGACAGUUGUGGGCAUUUGUAUUUAAUUGUCAGAGGUGAAAUUCUUGGAUUUAUUAAAGACAAACUAACGCGAAAGCAUUUGCCAAGGAUGUUUUCAUUAAUCAAGAACGAAAGUUAGGGGAUCAAAGACGAUCAGAUACCGUCCUAGUCUUAACUAUAAACUAUUCCGACUCAAUGUUUGACUGGCUUAUAUAACCAGUUGAGCGUUGUAUGAGAAAUCAAAGUCUUUAGGUUCUGGGGGGAGUAUGGUUGCAAAGCUGAAACUUAAAGGAAUUGACGGAAGAGCACAACCAGGAGUGGAUUCUGCGGCUUAAUUUGACUCAACACGGGGAAACUUACCAGGUUAAAACAAUAGUGGGAUUGACAGUUUGAGAGCGCUUUCUUGAUUGGUUGGGUGGUGGUGCAUGGCC
rnacentral:rRNA from 1 species